rnacentral:rRNA from 1 species
UACGUAGGUGGCAAGCGUUAUCCGGAAUUAUUGGGCGUAAAGCGCGCGCAGGCGGUUUCUUAAGUCUGAUGUGAAAGCCCACGGCUCAACCGUGGAGGGUCAUUGGAAACUGGGGAACUUGAGUGCAGAAGAGAAAAGCGGAAUUCCACGUGUAGCGGUGAAAUGCGUAGAGAUGUGGAGGAACACCAGUGGCGAAGGCGGCUUUUUGGCCUAUAACUGACGCUGAGGCGCGAAAGCGUGG